CUCCAGGGCUCAGUAACUGUGGAGACAGGAAGACCAGACCCUUCUGUGAGCACCAGGACAAGGGCCCCAGAGUCCUGAGGAAAAUCAUGUGGAAGCCCAACUCCCUGCUUUAGAAGUCAUCCUCAGGCCCCCAGGCCACCCCUGGAGAACCUAUUCAGUGACUCUGAAGACCACAAGAUGUACUCAUGGAUUAAUUUCACCAUCGCUGCAAAUGUGAAGAUGACUGAAGAUUUUCUACUUCGAGGAUAUCAAGUCGUUCAUUUGCCCUCACCCCUUCCAGGAAGCCUUCCUGGACAGGGAAGCCAAUAACUCAGAUCUCACCACCUUCUCCCUGGCUGGCCACCUGGUGGGGAAAGAGGAAAGGACAGAGCAAACCCAGCUUCAAAUCCACACUCACAUGAAGGCAGAACUUUGGCUCUACUUCCUUGAACUUUAAUUUCCUCGUCUGCAAAGUGGGACCAACAUCUACCUCAUAGCGUUUGAACAGGAUUAAAUGAAAUAUGUUUGCAAGCCUUCUAGCUCAUGGAUGUCCUGCUGUGACGUUCAUGUGUCCCGUGCCUGAGGAAACCACACCACCCUUGGUUGAAAUGAAGGCUGCACGAGCUUAGCACGAGGACCAGCUGGCAUCUACUGGGCCCAUAAGUGUGAUAGAAGGAGACACAGCAGCUUUCUUCCCUGAGAGAAAACUCAAGGACCCAGGGAACAACCCAGCGAUGCCCUGCCCUGCCUAUCUUUGAACAAUUCAAUGGUAACUGAAAAGACGCAGGUGUUCCCCCAGGGAGGAAACUGCAGUCAAGAUGAGUUCUAUCAAAGUCUGUGCCCUCAUAAGCUCAUUACUAAGUAUUUUAUGUAAAAACUAAAUGCAUUUUAGUCAUGACUUGAUCUGUGUAUUUUUCAUGCUAAUCAGAUACUGAUGUUUUUCUCUUAUAAACUGUUAGUUCUUUAAAUUGCCCCUCACAGUUCUUCCCUCCAAACAUGUUCU